rnacentral:rRNA from 1 species
UGGGGAAUUUUGGACAAUGGGCGAAAGCCUGAUCCAGCAAUGCCGCGUGUGUGAAGAAGGCCUUCGGGUUGUAAAGCACUUUUGUCCGGAAAGAAAUCCUUGGCUCUAAUACAGUCGGGGGAGUGACGGUACCGGAAGAAUAAGCACCGGCUAACUACGUGCCAGCAGCCGCGGUAAUACGUAGGGUGCAAGCGUUAAUCGGAAUUACUGGGCGUAAAGCGUGCGCAGGCGGUUUGCUAAGACCGAUGUGAAAUCCCCGGGCGUCAACCUAGGGCACUGGCAUUGGUGCAUGCUGGGCAGGCUAGAGUAUGGCAGAGGGGGUGAAAUUCCACGUGUAGCAGUGAAAUGCGUAGAGAUGUGGAGGAAUACCGAUGGCGAAGGCAGCCCCUCGGCAGUCACUGACGCUCAUGCACGAAAGCGUGGGGAGCAAAC